AGGGCCCCGCCGGCCUGGGGCUGGCCGCGCGCCCACCUGUCGCUCCGCGGGGGCCUCCCCGGUUUCUCGCCGCCGCCGCCGCUCGGAGGCGGGGAGCGGAGCCUCGGGGGACCGGCUCUCUCCCGGACGCCCCGGGCGCGGUCCCGCCCGCUCGCCCCAGCCCUCCGCGCCCGGGUCUCCCCUGUACCCCGUCGCCUCCCGACUUCCUCCGGGUUCCUGGAAGACACGUGGGAGGCUCGUGUCCCGUAGAGCCCGCCAGCCUAGCUCGCGCGUUCCCUAGCCGGGGCUUCGCUCCUGAGCCCUGCCUUUUCGAACGUUCACACUCGUUCUCUUUGCUCUCUGAGCAGCACCAUGGAAGCUGGCAAGAACAAGGACCUGAUGAAAGGCAGCAAGAAGAAAGUAGU